rnacentral:lncRNA from 1 species
AGGAAUCAAGAUGGCCGCCUGGGACCGCUCUCAGCCCCUUCGGCCUCUACCUGAAGAGCCACGCCCCGUCUGCUACACCCAACUGAUUGGUUCCUCAAUCACAGAGAGGAAAGGCAACAUGAGGAUGACGUCAGUUACAAAUAUGGCGUUUUGGACGGGCUCGAUAGUUUGCUUGGCCUCUACUCAAGGAAUGCUGAUGGUAUAGCAAGAAGGUAUUCUGAGCAUUAUAUCAAUGGGGAAGUUCUAGAUCUUUUGCAAAGCAGGAGAGUCAUCCUAGGGCAUCCAGAGGCCUUCAGGGUGGCCUGAAGUCUCCCACCGCACCACCUUUGGGUUAACCUAGCCUGUCCCACAGAAGAUGAUGAAGUUGGGUCUGGAGGCAAGCUGACUCAGAUGGAUUCUCGAUUUUAUGAUGCUGGACUGGAGAUGGGUUUCACCAUGUUGCCCAAGCUAGUCUCGAACUCGUGGACUCAAGCAAUCCACCUGCCUCAGCCUCCCAAAGUGCCUUACAGGCGUGAGCCACCGCACCUGGCUGAACUGUCCCUUCACACUUACCUUCAGUCCUGGAGGGAGGACCUCUUGCUUGUGGAUCUGGAUGACAGUGAUACUCACAAGUACCACAAUACUCACAAGCAAGACCACCAAGGCAAUGAUGGUUGGAGUUCGGUAGAGGGCCUUGAGGCCUAAAAUGAGAAGACCCAGAAGACACUUGAGGGGGAGGUAAAAACCAGGCACUGGUAUUCUUUGUAGAAUUGAUGGACUGGCCCCAUAAUCAGGUGCAUAAACCACCUUCUCUGGUGUUAGCGAGACCCACACUUCUAAGAUGGAGUAGCAAAUAAGCUCCCCUUCUCCCCAGUUUUGGGGAAGCACAAACAAUACCUAUUUGCCCUUCCUCACAAAUUGUGUACUAAAACAGUGUUGCAGGGAGGGUAUGCAUGGUCUAGUUUUCUGAUAUUUUGGUUAUCCCUGAGAUGAAUUACAAUAACAUUUGUUUUACUUUUUUCUUUUUCUUUUCUUUUUUUUUUUUUUUGAGAUGGAGUCUCACUCUAUCGCCCAGGUUAGAGUGCUGUGCCGUGAUCUUGGCUCACUGCAGCUUCCAACUCCCAGGUUCAAGCGAUUCUUCUGCCUCUGCCUCCUGAAUAGCUGAGAUUACAGGUGCCUGCUACCACGGCAGCCAAUUUUUGUAUUUUUAAUAGAGACAGGGUUUCACCAUGUUGGCCAGGCUGGUCUCGAACUCCUGGGCUCAAGUGAUCUGCCUGUCUCGGUCUCCCAAAGUGCUGGGAUUACAGGUGUGAGCCACCACGCCCAGCUAACAUUAGUUUUAAUGGAGAUUCAAAAAAUCUAUUUUUAAAAAAUUAAACCAGGUGAUAGAAUAUUUCACUUAAAAAUAAUCUCAUAGAAUAUUUCAUUUAAAAAUAAUCUCAGUUAAAGAAAAAGAAAUUAGGCUGGGCAGAUGGCUGACCCCUGUAAUCCCAGCACUUUGGGAGGCCGAAGUGGGUGGAUCACUUGAGGUCAGGAGUUCAAGACCAGCCUGGCCAAUAUGGUGAAACCAUGUCUCUACCAAGAAAUACAAAAAUUAGCCAGGUGUGAUCAUAUGCGCCUGUAGUCCCAGCUACUCGGGAGACUGAGGUGGGAGAAUUGCUUGAAGCCAGGAGGUGGAGGUUGCAAUGAGUUGAGAUCAAACUACUACACACCAGCCUGGGUGACAGAAUAAGACCUUGUCUCAAUAAAAUAAAAUAAAAAUAAAA